UACGGAGGGUGCGAGCGUUGUCCGGAAUCACUGGGCGUAAAGGGCGCGUAGGCGGCGCGGGCAGUCAACGGUGAAAGCUUGGGGCUCAACCCCGAGUCGGCCGUCGAUACUCCCGGGCUGGAGCACUGUAGGGGCAGAUGGAAUUCCGGGUGUAGCGGUGGAAUGCGUAGAGAUCCGGAAGAACACCAGUGGCGAAGGCGGUCUGCUGGGCAGUUGCUGACACUGAUGCGCGACAGCGUGGGGAGCAAACAGG
rnacentral:rRNA from 1 species